rfam:Otolemur garnettii contig127324, whole genome shotgun sequence.
GCCAGAUACAAGGGGGUGUGCCUGUAGCCCCAGCUACUCAGGAAGCACAGGCAGGAGGAUCACUGGAGCCCAAGAGUUCUGUGCUAUAGUGCACUAUACCAAUUGGUGUCUAUUCUAAGUCUGGCAUCAAUGCGAUGACCUUCAGGGAGCAGGGUGUGCAGGAGAUUGCCUAAAGAGAGAGAAACCAGAAUAGGUCAGAAAAGGAUCAGGUCAAAAUUCCCAUGCCAAUCAGUAGUGAGAUCGUCCCUGUGAACAGCCACUGAGUUCCAGCCUGGGCAACAUAGUGAGAUUUCAUCUCUC